rnacentral:rRNA from 1 species
UUCCUACGGGAGGCAGCAGUGGGGAUCUUGCACAAUGGGGGAAACCCUGAUGCAGCGACGCCGCGGCGAUAAGCCUUCGGGGUGUAAAGCUCUUUCGGCAGGGAAGAUGAUGACGGUACCUGCAGAAGCAGCUGCGGCUAACUACGUGCCAGCAGCCGCGGUAAUACGUAGGCAGCGAGCGUUGUUCGGAGUUACUGGGCGUAAAGGGUGUGUAGGCGGUUGUUUAAGUUUGGUGUGAAAUCUCCCGGCUCAACUGGGAGGGUGCGCCGAAUACUGAAUGACUUGGAGUGCGGGAGAGGAAAGUGGAAUUCCUGGUGUAGCGGUGAAAUGCGUAGAUAUCAGGAGGAACACCGGUGGUGUAGACGGCUUUCUGGACCGUAACUGACGCUGAGACACGAAAGCGUGGGUAGCAAACAGGAUUAGAUACCCUGGUAGUCCACGCCCUAAACGAUGCAUAUUUGGUGUGGGCAGUUCAUUCUGUCCGUGCCGGAGCUAACGCGUUAAAUAUGCCGCCUGGGGAGUACAGUCGCAAGGCUGAAACUCAAAGGAAUUGACGGGGGCCCGCACAAGCGGUGGAGCAUGUGGUUCAUUUCGAGCAACGCGAAGACUAACCUGGGCUCGAACGCUGAUCAACGCGGUGGAAACAUCGCUACCCCGCAAGGGGGUUCAGUCGAGUGCUGCAUGGCUGUCGUCAGCUCGUGUCUGAGAUGUUGGGUUAAGUCCCGCAACGAGCGCAACCCUUGUCCUGUGUUGCCAUGCCGAAAGGCGGAACUCGCAGGAGACCGCCAGGGAUAACCUGGAGGAAGGUGGGGAUGACGUCAAGUCCUCAUGGCCUUUAUGUCCAGGGCUACACACGUGCUACAAUGGACGGUACAAAGCGCAGCGAACUCGCGAGAGGGAGCCAAUCGCAAAAAACCGUUCUCAGUUCGGAUUGCAGGCUGCAACUCGCCUGCAUGAAGCUGGAAUCGCUAGUAAUGGCAGAUCAGCACGCUGCCGUGAAUACGUUCCCGGGCCUUG